AACACGUGGGCAAUCUGCCCCUGAUUCUGGGAUAACUACUCGAAAGAGUGGCUAAUACCGGAUACUCACGCUGGGAGGCAUCUUCCGGCGUGGAAAGCUCCGGCGAUCAGGGAUGAGCCCGCGGCCUAUCAGCUAGUUGGUGGGGUAGUGGCCCACCAAGGCGACGACGGGUAGCCGGCCUGAGAGGGCGACCGGCCACACUGGGACUGAGACACGGCCCAGACUCCUACGGGAGGCAGCAGUGGGGAAUAUUGCUCAAUGGGCGCAAGCCUGAAGCAGCAACGCCGCGUGAGGGAUGAAGGUCUUCGGAUUGUAAACCUCUUUCAGCAGGGACGAAGCGAA
rnacentral:rRNA from 1 species